rnacentral:rRNA from 1 species
GACGAACGCUGGCGGCGUGCUUAACACAUGCAAGUCGAACGGAAAGGCCCUGCCUUUGUGGCGUGCUCGAGUGGCGAACGGGUGAGUAACACGUGAGUAACCUGCCCUUGACUUUGGGAUAACUUCUGGAAACUGGGGCUAAUACCGGAUAGGAGCUCCUGCUGCAUGGGGGGGGGGGGAAAGUUUCGGCGGUUGGGGAUGGACCCGCGGCUUAUCAGCUUGUUGGUGGGGUAGUGGCUUACCAAGGCUUUGACGGGUAGCCGGCCUGAGAGGGUGACCGGCCACAUUGGGACUGAGAUACGGCCCAGACUCCUACGGGAGGCAGCAGUGGGGAAUAUUGCACAAUGGGCGGAAGCCUGAUGCAGCAACGCCGCGUGCGGGAUGACGGCCUUCGGGUUGUAAACCGCUUUCGCCUGUGACGAAGCGUGAGUGACGGUAAUGGGUAAAGAAGCACCGGCUAACUACGUG